AAAAAAAAAAAAAGCCAACUUUUAAAACUAACCCAAAAAUGGAACUCAAUCAACUCACAAGACACCAAAGAUCAACUGAAAACGAACAGAGUGCUUAAUGCUCACGUAGCAACGAUAAACAAUCAAUCACAAAACAUUCGCAUACUCAUUUCCAAUCCUCAAGGAAUCCACCGGAAACAGUUGAACAGCAAUGACACACUUAUCCAUAUAGUUCCCAAAGCAAUGGAAAGGUUGGGAUCCAAAAUUUGCAAUUCCUUGAAAACAUUUUCUUGGCAACCAAAUAGUAAAUUCGAAAACACAGAAGAAGCAGCAAAGAAAAAGAAUUAAGAUAAAGAUAGAUUGAAAAUGAAAUUGUGAUUUCCGUGCAAUAGAACAGAUUUAAAAAGGAGAGAAAGGGAGGGAAUUAGGGUUUGGAAUUUCGUAACUUACCUUAGAGAGAAAAAGCAAAAGAGG
rnacentral:misc_RNA from 1 species